rnacentral:lncRNA from 1 species
GCGAGGCCCUCUUUAAGUACUUAUAUUAAAAUACUUAGAAUUCGGGACUUUCCAUUUAGCAAAUUUCACGACCACCCCCAAAAUUAAUAAUACGCUAGUUGCUUUAGGCCCGACAUUUAAUAAUAUUACCUUCUUAAACUCGAGUGCAUAUAUAUGUGACUCAAAUCUGAAUCCUAACGAAGUUAAAAUAUGUUAAAAACCAUGAGUACAUUUAUGUAACGUGGUUCGAACAUAAUUUCACGACAUUGCAAAUCUAUAUUAAAAAUAAUAGUAAAAGCGGUUUAAAAUUAAAAAGUACGUAAGUUAGAACAUGUUUUAAAAUACGAUAUUUAGUCAAAUAUGACAGUUGAGUGACCAUGCUAGAACCAUGGAACCCGAGAAUGCCUAACACCUUCUCCUGGGUUAACAGAAUUCCUUACUCGAAUUUUCGAUUCGUGGACUAUUAAAUAGAGUAAAUAGUUUCCUUAAUUCGGGAUUCAAUCGUUGACUUGGGACACCAUAAAUCUCCCAAGUGAAAACUCUGAAUUUUAAAUAAACAAUUCGCGUUUUGAUUGUCCUUUAAUUGAAAGAUCUCCUCCACGCCCUUCCGGGUGUAGUAAAAAAGGAGGUGUGACAUCUAGUACUCACAACGGCGUGCAGCCCGCACCAUUUAUUUAUCGUCGACGACACUUACUGGGAGUGUGCAGACUACGGGAGGGCCACUUAUGGCCCAAGCACAAUAUCAAGCCAUCCCAUGCCAUCUAUUAGGCCCUAAGCCUCAUAUC